AAAAAGGGCGUGUACCAUGACUGGUACAGGGGUGGGAUGGGAAACCAUCUCGCUCCUGCGGAAUCGAUAUCAAGAGAUUUCGGACGCACAAUUUUUGUCAUUUAGGGCUGCCGAUGAUCGUUUAUCUUGGCGCCCUU